CCUACGGGAGGCAGCAGUGAGGAAUAUUGGUCAAUGGACGAGAGUCUGAACCAGCCAAGUAGCGUGAAGGAUGAAUGCCCUAGGGGUUGUAAACUUCUUUUAUAUGGGAGUAAAAUGUUCCACGUGUGGGAGUUUGUAUGUACCAUAUGAAUAAGGGUCGGCUAACUCCGUGACAGCAGCCGCGGUAAUACGGAGGAUCAGAGGGUUAUCCGGAUUUAUUGGGUUUAAAGGGAGCGUAGGUGGAUUGUUCAGUCAGUUGUGAAAGUCUGCGGCGCAACCGUAAAAUUGCAUGUGAAGCUGGCAGUCUUGAGUACAGUAGAGGUGGGCGGACUUCGUGGUGUAGCGGUGAAAUGCUUAGAUAUCACGAAGAACUCCGAUUGCGAAGGCAGCUCACUGGACUGCAACUGACACUGAGGCUCGAAAGUGUGGGUAUCAAACAGGAUUAGAUACCCGGGUAGUC
rnacentral:rRNA from 1 species